rnacentral:rRNA from 1 species
GAUGAACGCUGGCGGCGUGCCUAAUACAUGCAAGUCGAGCGAACAGACGAGGAGCUUGCUCCUCUGACGUUAGCGGCGGACGGGUGAGUAACACGUGGAUAACCUACCUAUAAGACUGGGAUAACUUCGGGAAACCGGAGCUAAUACCGGAUAAUAUAUUGAACCGCAUGGUUCAAUAGUGAAAGACGGUUUUGCUGUCACUUAUAGAUGGAUCCGCGCCGCAUUAGCUAGUUGGUAAGGUAACGGCUUACCAAGGCAACGAUGCGUAGCCGACCUGAGAGGGUGGUCGGCCACACUGGAACUGAGACACGGUCCAGACUCCUACGGGAGGCAGCAGUAGGGAAUCUUCCGCAAUGGGCGAAAGCCUUACGGAGCAACGCCGCGUGAGUGAUGAAGGUCUUCGGAUCGUAAAACUCUGUUAUUAGGGAAGAACAAAUGUGUAAGUAACUAUGCGCGUCUUGACGGUACCUAAUCAGAAAGCCACGGCUAACUACGUG